rnacentral:rRNA from 1 species
GCUGCCUUCUGUACCCCCCAUUGUAACACGUGUGUAGCCCCGGACGUAAGGGCCGUGCUGAUUUGACGUCAUCCCCACCUUCCUCACAUCUUACGACGGCAGUCUCUCUAGAGUCCUCAGCAUAACCUGUUAGUAACUAAAGAUAAGGGUUGCGCUCGUUAUGGCACUUAAGCCGACACCUCACGGCACGAGCUGACGACAACCAUGCAGCACCUUCACAACAGCCUUACGGCUAUACUGUUUCCAAUAUAUUCAGUUGCAAUUUAAGCCCGGGUAAGGUUCCUCGCGUAUCAUCGAAUUAAACCACAUGUUCCUCCGCUUGUGCGGGCCCCCGUCAAUUCCUUUGAGUUUCACCGUUGCCGGCGUACUCCCCAGGUGGAAUACUUAAUGCUUUCGCUUGGCCGCUUACUGUAUAUCGCAAACAGCGAGUAUUCAUCGUUUACUGUGUGGACUACCAGGGUAUCUAAUCCUGUUUGAUACCCACACUUUCGAGCAUCAGUGUCAGUAACAGUCUAGUGAGCUGCCUUCGCAAUCGGAGUUCUUCGUGAUAUCUAAGCAUUUCACCGCUACACCACGAAUUCCGCCCACCUCUACUGUACUCAAGACUGCCAGUUUCAACUGCAAUUUUACGGUUGAGCCGCAAACUUUCACAACUGACUUAACAAUCCACCUACGCUCCCUUUAAACCCAAUAAAUCCGGAUAACGCUCGGAUCCUCCGUAUUACCGCGGCUGCUGGCACGGAGUUAGCCGAUCCUUAUUCAUAUGGUACAUACAAAAUUCCACACGUGGAAAACUUUAUUCCCAUAUAAAAGAAGUUUACGACCCAUAGAGCCUUCAUCCUUCACGCUACUUGGCUGGUUCAGGCUCUCGCCCAUUGACCAAUAUUCCUCACUGCUGCCUCCCGUAGGAGUUUGGACCGUGUCUCAGUUCCAAUGUGGGGGACCUUCCUCUCAGAACCCCUAUCCAUCGUAGUCUUGGUGGGCCGUUACCCCGCCAACAAACUAAUGGAACGCAUCCCCAUCGAUAACCGAAAUUC